rnacentral:tRNA from 1 species
GGAAAGUGGGACUAAUUUGGGACAAAAAGAAUGGAUUUUGAAAUGAUGAAAGAAUGUAAAAUAAUAAGUAUCAACAACGUGCUUUGGCAAUACAAGGCAAUAAACAGCCGGGGGUUCGAAUCCCCCACUUUCCG